rnacentral:lncRNA from 1 species
GGGCUGACAGCGGCCUGGCAGACUGUGCGGGACCCCUCGGGAGGCACGGUCCUGAGCACCGUUCUGGACUCGGGGCGGCUUCCAUGUCGAGAGAGCGGGCACGCCGAGUGCCCGGUCCAAGGUCACCCGGCAACGUGGCCGCUCGCCUCUGCUUCCGGGCCGGUGGCAGCCCCAGCAGUGCUUGCAGGGUGUGCCGUGAACGGGGCCCUUCCUCCAGGACCUCCCUGGCGGGCCUCGGUUUUGCCCUUGUCAGGGACGGAGGAUGGAUUCCUGCUCUGUGGGUUUCUGCCUGCCUGCGUGCUCACCCAUACCUUCACACCUCUCAGACUUCAAAGGACAGCGUUUGCGAAACCAAAACUUAGAAAAGAACGUUCGGAUCAAGUCAGGCGUGAGCACCCCAGCUCCCUGCCCUCUCAGAGUGGACCUGGAGCUGAAGGGAGCAACUGUUUGAAGAACUGGACCCUGUUUCUGUUACGGGGAGGAGGAUGCAUGGGUGGCCGCUCCCGGUCUGAAUUCCAUCCCCCACCUUUGCCUGCUGGAGCACGGUUAAGAUUUCCCAUAGUGGGUGGGCCCCGUUCACUGAUUAAUUCAGAAUACAGCCAAGUAAGGGCGGGAGAGCAGCAUGGGGGACCUCUCCCAGAAAAGGGGUAUUUGAGAAGGGGCUCUCACGGAGGGGAAAGAGACCAAAGCAGGCUCUCGGAAGCCAUGUACACCUUCCUCUGCCCUCUACCCCCCGCCCAGAGUGAGGAGUGUGUCCGUUGUGUCCGUCUGGUCUGGAUGUCAAGGGGUCUCCCAGUGUCACAGAAUCCUGGAGACAGCGUCUCUCAGCUCCCAGGAGGAAACCAGAGACUCACCUCUCCAGGAUGUAGCUACAGCUCCCACCGCCCCCUGCUGCUCCCUCUCCUAAUGGGAGUCGUCCUAUUUCCUGGCCCAGGGCCCUGAGAUUGAUUCAAUACCCACAGAAUACACCCUGGGUGCUUGAGCAGCAUCUCACCUCCUCAUCCUCUGGCUGCUUGGUGCUUCGUACGGAGCUGCACAGUCAGGCCUGUUGUCUCUGCUAAGUGAGCUUCUAUGCACCGGCCAGGCCUCAGAAAGCUUGGAGGGUGCCAGGGGAAAGGGACAGGUAGACCACUUGGCCUGCUGUCCUGUCCCUGCACCCCACUGUGUGCCUGUGUUGGAUGACUCUGGACAAGCCUGCACAGGAACCUCAGAUCAUAAGGGAUAACGAGUAACACCCACUUCCCAUACAAGAAGGGGACACAUGUGCAAACAUGUUGAUGGCACUAACGCCUGGGAUGGUUUCACCUUCCGAGUAGCAGUGAGAGAAAGUUGCAUAGGUCAUGACCCCAAGUCCCAGCCAGGUCUCCUCCUCUUUCCAGAAGAGAGGUGGACUCUUCAGGAGGGGCUGAUCAGAGGCCAGAGCGUAGGAAGUGAGAGCAACGACCCUCCUGCAGGGCCCAGGGGCCCUGAGUCGGGCAGGUUCACAGCCCUCUCCCACAGAGUCUCCAGGUGCUCCGGCAUGGGCUGCUCACCCUCUGUGAGUUGUUCCAGGGCUUGGAAAGGCAGUCUGUGUCCAAUACAAAUAAAAUAUGAGCCAAUUUAUCA